rnacentral:rRNA from 1 species
UUGGGAGCUCUCCCAUAUGGUCGACCUGCAGGCGGCCGCGAAUUCACUAGUGAUUCGUAUUACCGCGGCUGCUGGCACGUAGUUGGCCGGUGCUUCUUCUACGGGUACCGUCAUUAUCGUCCCCGUCGAAAGAGUUUUACAACCCUAAGGCCUUCGUCACUCACGCGGCAUGGCUGGAUCAGGCUUGCGCCCAUUGUCCAAUAUUCCCCACUGCUGCCUCCCGUAGGAGUCUGGGCCGUGUCUCAGUCCCAGUGUGGCUGGUCGUCCUCUCAGACCAGCUACCCGUCGGAGCCUUGGUAGGCCGUUACCCCACCAACAAGCUGAUAGGCCGCGAGCCCCUCCCGAAGCGGAAUCCAUUUCCUCUCCGAGCCAUGCGACUCAGAGGGGGUAUCCGGUAUUAGCACCGGUUUCCCGGUGUUAUCCCAGUCUUCGGGGCAGGUUGCUCACGUGUUACUCACCCGUUCGCCGCUAGGUCUUCCCUUGUCUUGCGACAAGUUGGACCCCGCUCGACUUGCAUGUGUUAAGCACGCCGCCAGCGUUCGUCCUGAGCCAUGAUCAAACUCUAAUCGAAUUCCCGCGGCCGCCAUGGCGGCCGGGAGCAUGCGAC